GUGGGGAAUCUUGCGCAAUGGGCGAAAGCCUGACGCAGCCAUGCCGCGUGAAUGAUGAAGGUCUUAGGAUUGUAAAAUUCUUUCACCGGGGACGAUAAUGACGGUACCCGGAGAAGAAGCUCCGGCUAACUUCGUGCCAGCAGCCACGGUAAUACGAAGGGGGCUAGCGUUGCUCGGAAUUACUGGGCGUAAAGGGCGCGUAGGCGGACAGCUUAGUCAGAGGUGAAAGCCCAGGGCUCAACCUUGGAAUUGCCUUUGAUACUGGCUGUCUUGAGUUUGGGAGAGGUGAGUGGAACUCCGAGUGUAGAGGUGAAAUUCGUAGAUAUUCGGAAGAACACCAGUGGCGAAGGCGACUCACUGGCCCAAUACUGACGCUGAGGCGCGAAAGCGUGGGGAGCAAACAGGAUUAGAUACCCGAGUAGUCC
rnacentral:rRNA from 1 species